rnacentral:rRNA from 1 species
UACAAGCCCCCCUGAACGGGGUCUAAUACCGGAUACGACUGCGGAAGGCAUCUUCUGUGGUGGAAAGCUCCGGCGGUGAAGGAUGAGCCCGCGGCCUAUCAGCUUGUUGGUGGGGUAAUGGCCUACCAAGGCGACGACGGGUAGCCGGCCUGAGAGGGCGACCGGCCACACUGGGACUGAGACACGGCCCAGACUCCUACGGGAGGCAGCAGUGGGGAAUAUUGCACAAUGGGCGAAAGCCUGAUGCAGCGACGCCGCGUGAGGGAUGACGGCCUUCGGGUUGUAAACCUCUUUCAGCAGGGAAGAAGCGAAAGUGACGGUACCUGCAGAAGAAGCGCCGGCUAACUACGUGCCAGCAGCCGCGGUAAUACGUAGGGCGCAAGCGUUGUCCGGAAUUAUUGGGCGUAAAGAGCUCGUAGGCGGCUUGUCACGUCGGAUGUGAAAGCCCGAGGCUUAACCUCGGGUCUGCAUUCGAUACGGGCUAGCUAGAGUGUGGUAGGGGAGACGGUU